CCCGGGCCUUGUACANACCGCCCGUCACACCAUGGGAGUUGGUUUUACCCGAAGACGGUGCGCUAACCGCAAGGAGGCAGCCGGCCACGGUAAGGUCAGCGACUGGGGGUG
rnacentral:rRNA from 1 species